GAUGAACGCUGGCGGCGUGCCUAAUACAUGCAAGUCGAGCGAACAGACGAGGAGCUUGCUCCUCUGACGUUAGCGGCGGACGGGUGAGUAACACGUGGAUAACCUACCUAUAAGACUGGGAUAACUUCGGGAAACCGGAGCUAAUACCGGAUAAUAUAUUGAACCGCAUGGUUCAAUAGUGAAAGACGGUUUUGCUGUCACUUAUAGAUGGAUCCGCGUCGCAUUAGCUAGUUGGUAAGGUAACGGCUUACCAAGGCAACGAUGCGUAGCCGACCUGAGAGGGUGAUCGGCCACACUGGAACUGAGACACGGUCCAGACUCCUACGGGAGGCAGCAGUAGGGAAUCUUCGGCAAUGGGCGAAAGCUUGACGGAGCAACGCCGCGUGAGUGAUGAAGGUCUUCGGAUCGUAAAACUCUUUUAUUAGGGAAGAACAAAUGUGUAAGUAACUAUGCACGUCCUGACGGUACCUAAACAGAAAGCCACGGCUAACUACGUG
rnacentral:rRNA from 1 species